rnacentral:lncRNA from 1 species
AUGCGCAGUGCGGAGAGCGGAGGGUGCGCGCCGCCGGGCGGGCGGGGCGCGGGGGCGCGGGGACGCCGGUCCGCGGGGCCCUCAGGAGCCGACCAGCACCUCCAUGAUGUGGUCCAGCUCCGUGAGGUCCAUCUUGAAGGGCUGACUCGGGGCGACCGGCUGGCUGCUGUACGGCGCCAGCGUCUUGAGGAGGUCGUCCGCCGACACCGACACGGGCGCCAUCUUGGAGGCCGUCCCCGCCGCCGACGUGCAGGGGUCGAAGUCGUACAUGGACGUGUCGAUGUCGGCGAACAGGAUGUCGUCCAGGGUCAGAGGAGAAAGGAAAGGGAGCGGCAUCAACCACACGGAAACUCAUUUUCUGCCCUAAAAGGGACGCCGAUUCGGGGUUCAGGGCUUGGACUCCAGUUGCUUGCCCCAGCGUGCACAGAGCUUUUCUGCCUGUUGGGUGACAUGUGGCGUAGCACCCGGCCUGUGUUAAGUGACCACAGCGAUGGAGCGGCCACCGCUUCUCAGCCCAGAAUAAAGUGGAGGAAUGUGGCUUUCCCAGCCCAAGCGCCAGUGGCUCAAUUUGAUUGCGUACAGUUAACGUCUGACUGCAACCGCACGAAUUUAAAAAUACACACGUGCUUCGGAAAAGAGCCAACCACCUCAUAUCUCAGACCUUGACAUUUGGGAAUGGCGUGAGUUUUAACACCUGCCCUGCCUCACCUGCCGCUCCCUGCCUACGCCGCCUCCUUGCCUGCUCUGGCCUUACUGAGGACUCCCCCGGCCGGCUGCACCUUCUGGAGAGUGUCCCUUCCUUUCAGAACUUCUACCGUCUAAACAGAACAACUGUUCUGUUUAGUUCUGUUUCAGUACAACUGCAAGCCCACUGGCCUUUGCCUCACAGAUCUCACUUUCUAACCAUUUAAUCAGGAAAGUUGUUCUGCUGUCCAGACCAGAAGACGUGGUUCUCAUUAAGCCGGGCCUGUGCUUGCUCCCCCAGCCCGUCUGCAGCACUUACCCACAGGCGAGUGUUAAUCCUCUCCUGGGUGCCACUCACUGAUAUCUUCAUAUACAAGUAGUUUGUACUUAUUCAAUUUUUCUUCUAAAAGCGACUUGCCUUUUACUGAAUUGCUUCAGCUGAUUUUGAUGGAGCCUCAUUCAGUCUUUAUAUUUGUUUACUCAUUCUGCAUCUAUGCUGUCGUGGGCACUCUGCCAGAAAGUGGGUAGUCCUGCCAAUGAAUAAAGCCUGGUCUUCAAGGGGCUGAAUAUCA